ACGGAGGGUGCAAGCGUUAUCCGGAUUCACUGGGUUUAAAGGGUGCGUAGGAGGGCAGGUAAGUCAGUGGUGAAAUCUCCGGGCUUAACUCGGAAACUGCCGUUGAUACUAUCUGUCUUGAAUACCGUGGAGGUGAGCGGAAUAUGUCAUGUAGCGGUGAAAUGCUUAGAUAUGACAUAGAACACCCAUUGCGAAGGCAGCUUACUACGGAUUGAUUGACACUGAGGCACGAAAGCGUGGGGAUCAAACAGGA
rnacentral:rRNA from 1 species